rnacentral:rRNA from 1 species
GAGUUUGAUCCUGGCUCAGGACGAACGCUGGCGGCGUGCCUAAUACAUGCAAGUCGAGCGAGCUGAAUUCAAGGAUCCCUUCGGGGUGAUUUGUUGGACGCGAGCGGCGGAUGGGUGAGUAACACGUGGGCAACCUGCCCUAAAGACUGGGAUACCACUUGGAAACAGGUGCUAAUACCGGAUAACAACAGAAGCUGCAUGGCUUUUGUUUGAAAGGCGGCUUUAAGCUGUCACUUUAGGAUGGGCCCGCGGUGCAUUAGCUAGUUGGUGGGGUAACGGCCUACCAAGGCAAUGAUGCAUAGCCGAGUUGAGAGACUGAUCGGCCACAUUGGGACUGAGACACGGCCCAAACUCCUACGGGAGGCAGCAGUAGGGAAUCUUCCACAAUGGACGCAAGUCUGAUGGAGCAACGCCGCGUGAGUGAAGAAGGUUUUCGGAUCGUAAAGCUCUGUUGUUGGUGAAGAAGGAUAGUGGCAGCAACUGGCCAUUAUUUGACGGUAAUCAACCAGAAAGUCACGGCUAACUACGUGCCAGCAGCCGCGGUAAUACGUAGGUGGCAAGCGUUGUCCGGAUUUAUUGGGCGUAAAGCGAGCGCAGGCGGAAAGAUAAGUCUGAAGUGAAAGCCCCCGGCUUAACCGGGGAACUGCUUCGGAAACUGUCCUUCUUGAGUGCAGAAGAGGAGAGUGGAACUCCAUGUGUAGCGGUGAAAUGCGUAGA